CAGCCGGGGGCGUGCUUACACAUGCAGUCGAACGCGCAUGCAGUUUGCUAUGCAAUACAGUAGUUGUGUGGGCGCGUGGGUAACGUGGAUAGCGUAAUCAAUCGUGGAUAACUCUUCCAUUCAGGGAUGGGCGACAAUCAAACCCAGAUGAAAAUUGGGCUAAUACCGUCAUAAACAUGACGAUGGCCACAUGGUGUUGUCUUCAAUAGGCGUCAA
rnacentral:rRNA from 1 species